rnacentral:rRNA from 1 species
GUCUGCAGCCAUGCCACCCUGAACGUACGUGCCUCAUCUCAGAAGCUAAGCAGGGUCGGGCCUGGUUAGUACUCGGAUGGGAGACCACCUAGGAAGACCAGGUGCUGUAGGCG